rnacentral:rRNA from 1 species
UGGGGAAUAUUGGACAAUGGGCGCAAGCCUGAUCCAGCCAUGCCGCGUGAGUGAAGAAGGCCUUAGGGUUGUAAAACUCUUUCGCCGGGGAAGAUAAUGACGGUACCCGGAGAAGAAGCUCCGGCUAACUUCGUGCCAGCAGCCGCGGUAAUACGAAGGGAGCUAGCGUUGUUCGGAAUUACUGGGCGUAAAGCGCACGUAGGCGGACUUGUCAGUCAGGGGUGAAAUCCCAAGGCUCAACCUUGGAACUGCCUCCGAUACAGCAAGCCUAGAGAUCGGGAGAGGUGAGUGGAAUUCCUAGUGUAGAGGUGAAAUUCGUAGAUAUUAGGAAGAACACCAGUGGCGAAGGCGGCUCACUGGCCCGAUACUGACGCUGAGGUGCGAAAGCGUGGGGAGCAAACAGGAUUAGAUACCCCUGUAGUCCCUGAGCGGGCUGGCAAGGCGCAU